rnacentral:rRNA from 1 species
UACGGAAGGGGGCUAGCGUUGCUCGGAAUCACUGGGCGUAAAGCGCACGUAGGCGGAUUGCUAAGUCAGGGGUGAAAUCCUGGAGCUCAACUCCAGAACUGCCUUUGAUACUGAGGAUCUUGAGUUCGGGAGAGGUGAGUGGAACUGCGAGUGUAGAGGUGAAAUUCGUAGAUAUUCGCAAGAACACCAGUGGCGAAGGCGGCUCACUGGCCCGAUACUGACGCUGAGGCACGAAAGCGUGGGGAGCAAACAGG